AUGGCCACCCCCUCGGACGCCAACUCUGCUACGAGCGGCGGCACCUCGGCGGCCGCCAACCCUGUCCUGGAGGAUUUCUUCGACCAGCUAGAUCUAAACGACAAGGAGUUAAAUGAUGUGGAGAUUGAUGAGGAAUAUCCCGGCAUCAAGGAAAGCGUGAGGUGGUUGGCCCUGGCUAGGGUUCACACCGACAAAACCUUCUCUCCGGCUGCCUUCUACAAGGAUAUGAGGGCGGCCUGGAAUCCGACGCAACCAGUAUGGUUUCAUUCGGUUGGCCCCAAUAGAUUCGUUGUCCAGGCCUCAUGCCUUGGGGAUUGGGAGCGGAUGAUGAAGCAAGGGCCCUGGCUCUUUCAAAACAUGGCGGUCCUUAUGUGCUCGUAUGAUCGUUUUACCAAAGCGGAUGAUGUGGUCUUUGAUCACAUGCCUAUUUGGCUCCAGAUACAUAAGCUACCGGAUCCCUACUGUAAACACGGGAUCAUGGAGAGGCUCCUUAAGGGGGCUGGCGAAAUCUUGGAGAUGAGAUUGAACGGCAACACCCAUGGGGAUUAUGUUAGGGUUAGGGUUAACCAUGACAUCAAACAGCCGCUUACAAAGUUGGUGAGCAUUGUAAGAGCUCAGGAGAGACAAGUCUACCUGGUUCGAUAUGAGAAGCUGGCUCAUUUUUGCAAAUUCUGUGGUCUAAUUGGACAUAACCAUAAGGAGUGUGGUUUUGGUGUUCAUGAUCAGAAGAAACUGAAGUUUGGAGAUUGGUUGUACGCGGAUGGGCCUAACCACCCGCGUCCUAAGCAAAACCCUAGCAGGGCUAGCGAGCCACUACAAACGAAGAACAAUGGCAGCCUAAGUGCUCCGUUGGUUCCUGGCGGUAAGGGAGUUGAUCCUGAGACCCUGGAUACGGCCACGAGCCCUAUGAAGAACCUGGGGGUGAGCAUGGAGGUUGAUAGAGAAGCUAGGAAGAGACUUAAUAUGUACAACUCUGGUGAUGAUGUUCUGAAUACUACCAGUACCCCGAAGGCGAUCUUGGCAAUCACCGAUGGCAAUGGUCAGGACUUAGGGGAUAAUGCCUCCCCCUCUAGCAGCACCUCUAGCAGUAAACAUGUUAAACUCAGUUUGAUCCAUGACACAAAUGAGAUAUCGGCGGCUUCCUGUGAGGAAGACCGCCGAACACAAUGA
rnacentral:rRNA from 1 species